rnacentral:rRNA from 1 species
UACGGAGGGUGCAAGCGUUAAUCGGAAUUACUGGGCGUAAAGCGUGCGCAGGCGGUUUGUUAAGUCUGCUGUGAAAUCCCCGAGCUCAACUUGGGAAUUGCAGUGGAUACUGGCAGGCUGGAGUAUGGUAGAGGAAGGUGGAAUUCCCGGUGUAGCAGUGAAAUGCGUAGAGAUGUGGAGGAACACCGAUGGCGAAGGCAGCCCCCUGGGUUAACACUGACGCUCAGGCACGAAAGCGUGGGGAGCAAACAGG